UUGUCGGGGAACACGAGAAAAAUGCCAAGUGCGUCGUUCACAUCGUCGCGCAAUUACGUGCGGAGAUCCCGAAGAAAAGGUGCGAACAGGAUCCCCCUGCCUUCGAGAACCACCUCGGCCGAGCCAUGCGACUUGCCAUGUUCAGCAUCGAAUCAGAUACCUCCUGGUGGUGGAGUCGGCGGCGGAGGAGGUGGAGGCGGGGGUGCAAGCGGUGGAAGAGGAUCAUCACCUAGCGUAUCCGGCGUUGCUGCACCGUCGCCGUCCCCGUCGCAUUCACAUUCGUCCCCGUACGAUUUAAGACGUAAAAGUCCACCUCAUCCGGAUCCCGCGCCUGGCACCAGUUCUGCUCUACCUCCCUCCGGUGGUAGCAGUAUAGGAGCCACGCUCGGUUCAUCUUCGUUACCAGCGAGAAAACGACCUAGGCGGACGUGCUCCUUGUCCACGGAUGGUACGAACACGAACACGGCGGCGCAUUAUCUCCAGUACGAGCUACCGGACGAAGUGCUGCUCACGAUAUUUAAUUAUCUGAUGGAACAGGAUCUGUGCAGAGUCUCGCAGGUUUGCAAACGUUUCCAGACGAUCGCGAACGACACCGAACUGUGGAAGUCCCUGUACCAGCAGGUGUACGAAUACGACUUGCCGCUGUUCAAUCCUGCGCCCUGUAAAUUUGAAUUUGUAUCACCAGACGAGUCGGACUACCCGAAUCCGUGGAAAGAAAGUUUUAGACAAUUGUAUAGGGGCGUGCACGUUAGGCCAGGAUUUCAGGAUUUGAAGUUCAAGGGUCGGAAUUUGCCAUACUUCAACACGGUUCAAGGAGCGUUAGACUACGUGGACGAGUACAGGAGCAAUGGCAGUUCCUCGUCGACGAACAACAGCUCGAGUUCGUCCGGUCAGGGGAAUUGUUGCGGGAAUAAUUCUCAAACGACGGAAGAGAUGCCGCAACACUUAGUCUUCUUACACGCUGGCAUCUACAGGGGCGAAUUUCUCGUGAUCGACAGCGACGUCGCAUUGAUCGGAGCGGCACCCGGGAACGUAGCGGAGUCUGUUAUAUUGGAACGAGAAAGUGAAUCUACGGUUAUGUUCGUAGAAGGAGCGAAGCGGGCCUACGCCGGCCAUCUCACGUUAAAGUUCACCCCGGACGUUACCAGCACCGUGCCGCAUCAUAAGCAUUAUUGUUUGGAAGUCGGCGAAAAUUGCAGUCCCACGGUCGAUCAUUGUAUCAUCAGGAGUUCGAGCGUUGUUGGAGCAGCUGUUUGCGUGUCGGGAGUCGGUGCGAAUCCUGUGGUGAAGAACUGCGACAUAUCGGACUGCGAGAACGUUGGACUUUACGUUACCGAUUAUGCGCAGGGAACCUACGAGGACAACGAAAUAUCUAGAAACGCGUUAGCCGGAAUAUGGGUGAAGAAUUACGCGAACCCGAUCAUGCGAAGGAAUCACAUUCAUCAUGGGAGGGACGUAGGGAUCUUCACGUUCGACAACGGGCUCGGAUAUUUCGAGGCGAAUGACAUUCAUAACAAUCGUAUAGCAGGCUUCGAGGUAAAAGCCGGUGCUAAUCCGUCGGUCGUGCACUGCGAGAUACACCAUGGGCAAACGGGCGGGAUUUACGUCCACGAGAAUGGUUUGGGUCAGUUCAUCGACAAUAAGAUCCAUUCGAAUAAUUUCGCUGGCGUUUGGAUCACCUCCAACUCGAACCCGACUAUACGUAGAAACGAAAUUUAUAAUGGACAUCAAGGGGGGGUGUACAUAUUCGGAGAGGGACGAGGCUUGAUCGAACAUAACAACAUUUACGGCAACGCCCUGGCUGGUAUACAGAUCAGAACGAACUCGGACCCUAUCGUCAGACACAACAAGAUACAUCACGGCCAACACGGUGGUAUAUAUGUGCACGAAAAGGGGCAAGGGUUGAUCGAGGAAAACGAGGUGUACGCGAACACUCUGGCAGGAGUUUGGAUAACCACAGGAUCGACACCGGUAUUGAGAAGAAAUCGUAUCCAUAGCGGGAAGCAAGUAGGAGUUUAUUUUUAUGACAAUGGACACGGGAAACUGGAAGACAAUGAUAUUUUCAAUCAUCUGUAUUCGGGCGUACAAAUAAGGACCGGAAGUAAUCCGGUAAUACGUGGGAAUAAGAUAUGGGGCGGACAGAACGGCGGCGUUCUCGUGUACAAUAGUGGAUUAGGUUUACUCGAACAGAACGAAAUUUUUGAUAAUGCGAUGGCAGGAGUUUGGAUAAAGACGGAUAGUAAUCCCACGUUGAAGAGGAACAAGAUAUUCGACGGACGGGACGGUGGAAUUUGUAUAUUUAACGGUGGCAAAGGCGUCCUGGAAGAGAACGAUAUAUUUCGUAACGCUCAAGCAGGAGUGCUCAUUUCUACCCAAUCUCAUCCUGUCUUGAGGAGAAACCGGAUCUUCGACGGAUUGGCAGCUGGCGUCGAGAUAACGAACAACGCGACCGCCACGCUCGAGUUCAAUCAAAUUUUCAAUAAUAGAUUCGGCGGUCUCUGCUUAGCGAGCGGAGUACAACCUACGACUAGAGGCAAUAAAAUAUUUAAUAACCAAGAUGCAGUGGAGAAAGCGGUUGGGAACGGCCAAUGUUUAUACAAAAUUUCGUCGUACACCUCUUUCCCAAUGCACGAUUUCUACCGCUGCCAGACAUGCAAUACGACGGACCGUAACGCGAUUUGCGUGAACUGCAUAAAAACCUGUCAUGCUGGUCACGAUGUAGAAUUCAUUAGACACGAUCGGUUCUUCUGCGACUGCGGUGCUGGAACGUUGAGUAAUCAGUGUCAACUUCAGGGCGAGCCGACGCAAGAUACGGACACGUUGUACGACAGUGCAGCGCCGAUGGAAUCGCACACUCUUAUGGUCAACUAGGAACUAACUUAAAUUAAAAUUAAAAGAGACACGAAAGAUCGAGAGAGAGAAAAUGAUCGAGUCGACUUCGAACCUAAACAGAAUCAGGAGCAACACCGAUGGACGCGUUACCAGAGGAUCUUCGCCCCGUGAGACGACUCGUGCGACGACUCGUGCGACAGACUGCAUGAAGAAGUGGAUAUUGUGCAUUUGAACGUACAUGGUCGGGAAUCGUAGGUGAAUAGAGUCGAGCCUGAGAUUGGGCGAGCAAUCGGAUGUAACAACGUCGACGACGACCAUGAUUUUAGUAAUAACGAUUCAGAGACGUUGGAAAGCGGCGGUACAAAUUUCGAAGAGAACGACCAGGCAGAACGAUGAUUCACGGUGGCAUACGCUUGGGGAACGGACGUCUGAAAAAUGUGAUACGUAAAAUUCACGACUGGAAUAAUCAAAAUGGAAGCGGUAAACGUGGUGUACAAUCCUAAGAAUCCUCUUCUUUCGUCGUUGUGUAAGUUUACGUCGUGAUACACAUGUACAAUUCUUCGAUUCUACUGUUCGCGUUGUGAAUAGUGACGGCCCUGAGUUGCCCUAUGCGGGAAGUGCAUAAUAGUAAGAUGAACAAAGUAAAAAUCUGAAUAAAACGAAAGAAAAAGGUUGAAAAACGAGUUCGUGCGACGUACGUUGGUGUGUAUCGGUGAGAAACGGAAUUACAAACGAAAGUUAACGAGGGAAGAUGAAGGAAGAAAGAAACGCGAUACGUACUGUCCGAGGAACAGUUAAAAAAAAUCAAGUAAUCUCGAAUUUUUAAAGUAAUCCGAUUUUUUAAUAUUAUGUUAGUGGUAAAGAUCUAAUCAUAUUGUUACAAUUGUAUUUCAAGGGCCGAAACCUCUUGUACGCUGAGAAAAAAAGAAAAUGAUGAAAAAAGCGCCUAUUAGCGAUAAUUUUAGACGCAAAACUACACGACACAUCCGUUUAUGCAAAACGAUCGAGUACGAAAUAAGUAGACGAAACGUUUCGAGAUCGUUGCGGUGAAAUUUUGUUUCAUGCGACGAAAUUUUACAAGUCUCUGUCUGUAUUCAUUAAUUGUGUAC